rnacentral:lncRNA from 1 species
UCACCCCUAAAGGGAUUGAUGCAGUGUCAAAACCUUUGGCUCAGGGGUCAUCCUCUCUUCUUGCCUCCCCAAUCUGACAAAAGCUGAAUUUCUUUCCCUCACCAUUCGUUUCUCUUUUUCUUCUAUUGAAUUCAUCAGCGAGGGAGGCAUGAGAUGUGAGACGUGAAUGAAACAUUUUCAUUAGAAGGGAGGAGAAUCCCCGGUCAGAGACAAGGCCGGAGCUGAUCUGAGCCAAUGACAUCCCCACCAAUUCUUUCUUUCUUUUUUUUUUUUUUUGUCCUACUUACUUUCCCCAGCUGUCACUCUCUGCGGUAUGUGGCAAGCUGAUUGAAAUCAGCACUGUGUCAGGGCCGUCAUAUCUCAGAAAGACAUAAAACAUGCAGAAACAUCAAUAAGCAACAGGCCGCUGACAGCUCUCAGGCACCGAUGCCGGCGAGGAGAGAUGAGGGGAAGCGCCUCCCAGCACUCCUCCAUGUUCUCCUCCAUCUGCCUUCUCUCCAUUGAUCAGCCUUCCAGGGCAUCAGUCUGUUUAACAUCUGCUACAAGUUCCAGCAGCUCAGAUGCGCAGAGGCUGUAA